GAUGAACGCUGGCGGCGCGCCUAACACAUGCAAGUCGAACGAUUAAAGCACCUUCGGGUGUGUAUAAAGUGGCGAACGGCUGAGUAACACGUGGGCAACCUGCCCCUUUCAUUGGGAUAGCCACGGGAAACCGUGGAUAAUACCGAAUACUUCGAGACUUCCGCAUGGAAGACUCGAGAAAGCUCCGGCGGAGAGGGAUGGGCCCGCGGCCUGUUAGCUUGUUGGUGGGGUAACGGCCUACCAAGGCAAUGAUGGGUAGCUGGGUUGAGAGACCGACCAGCCAGAUUGGGACUGAGACACGGCCCAGACUCCUACGGGAGGCAGCAGUGGGGAAUCUUGCACAAUGGGCGAAAGCCUGAUGCAGCGACGCCGCGUGCGGGAUGAAGGCCUUCGGGUUGUAAACCGCUUUCGGCAGGGACGAGGCGAAAGUGACGGUACCUGCAGAAGAAGCCCCGGCUAACUACGUG
rnacentral:rRNA from 1 species